CCUUCUAGGCAGCUUUCUGUAAAGGGUUGGGUGAGAAAAACUUAUUUAUGCAAGAAUAGAGCAAUUUUCAGGGCUUAUCAACACUGAGGCUAUUUGCUUCUCUGCUUCCUCCACCACAGGCUCCAAGAGACUUCAUCUAUCAGCAGACUUGGGGUAAAUCCUAUUACCAGGAGCUGCUAUUGUCAGAGUGGAUGUCAUUAUACAUUACAAAAAGACGUAGCAGGAGGCAUUACCUGGAGGAGCCAUCGUAUUUUUAUAUGUGUGGAAAGAAGCAGAGCAACUGUGGGAGAAAGGGACACGACCAAAGGAAUUUGGGAAGUGAAGAGAAACUGCCAGGACAACAUGGCUAAGUAGC